UGUCUGGAGCUGAUUGCAAGUGAAACACCUUUAGAUGUGCUAAUGGAAACCUCAGGGACAGACAUCCUGAACGACUCUGAUGUCAGAGCUCCCAUCAGCCCCCUACACUUAGCUGUGAGUAAAGCCUACCUGCUCCUGUAGGGGUCUCGCCACAUGACAAAUGGCACCCUCUUCCCU